GACGAACGCUGGCGGCGUGCUUAACACAUGCAAGUCGAACGAAGUGGCGAACGGGUGAGUAACGCGUAAUCAACCUGCCCUUCAGAGGGGGACAACAGUUGGAAACGACUGCUAAUACCGCAUACUGAAGGAGGGGAUUGCGUCUGAUUAGUGAGUUGGAGGGGUAAUGGCCCACCAAGGCUAUGACGCGUAACUGGGCUGAGAGAUGGACCAGUCACAGUGGAAAUGAGACACGGUACAAACUCCGACGGGAGGCAGCAGUAGGGAAGAUUGCGCAAUGGGGGAAACCCUGACGCAGCAACGCCGCGUGGAGGAUGACACUUUUCUGAGCGUAAACUCCUUUUGUUAGGGAAGGGGUACCUAACGAAUAAGCACCGGCUAACUCCGUGCCAGCAGCCGCGGUAAUAC
rnacentral:rRNA from 1 species